CAUGAACGUUGGCGGCGUGGAUUAGGCAUGCAAGUCGCGCGAUUUCCUUCGGGGAAGAGCGGCGGAAGGGAGAGUAACGCGUAGAUACCUACCCUCGGGACUGGAAUAGCGACGGGAAACUGUCGGUAAUGCCAGAUAACGUCCCUGGACCAAAGGUGUGAAUCCGCCUGAGGAGGGGUCUGCGUCCUAUUAGCUAGUUGGCGGGGUAACGGCCCACCAAGGCGAAGAUGGGUACCGGGCGUGAGAGCGUGACCCGGCUCACUGGGACUGAGACACUGCCCAGACACCUACGGGUGGCUGCAGUCGAGAAUCUUCGGCAAUGAGCGCAAGCUUGACCGAGCGACGCCGCGUGCGGGAUGAAGGCUUUCGGGUUGUAAACCGCUGUCAGUGGGGAGGAAAUUCUUGGGGGUACUCCCCCUUGAUUGACCGAUCCGCAGAGGAAGGACGGGCUAAGUUCGUGCCAGCAGCCGCAGUAAGAC
rnacentral:rRNA from 1 species